GCGCAGCAGUCGCGAAGCGUGACGGGGAACCCCAAGUGCCGUUGGUCUAUUGAUCGACGGCUUUUCGGGAGUUUAGGGAGCUCCCGGAAUAAGGGCUGGGUAAGUCGGGUGCCAGCCGCCGCGGUAAUACCCGCAGCCCAAAUGGUGGUCGCGAUUAUUGGGCCUAAAGCGCUCGUAGCCGGGUCGGCAAGUCCCUUGUGAAAUCGGGCGGCUUAACCGUUCGGCUUGCAAGGAAUACUGUUGGCCUUGAGGCCGGGAGACGCCGAGGGUACUCCGGGGGUAGCGGUGAAAUGUUCUAAUCCUCGGGGGACCACCAGUGGCGAAGGCGCUCGGCGAGAACGGACCUGACGGUGAGGGGCGAAGGCUAGGGGAGCGAACGGGAUUAGAUACCCGUGUAGU
rnacentral:rRNA from 1 species